rnacentral:rRNA from 1 species
GACGAACGCUGGCGGCGUGCCUAAUACAUGCAAGUAGAACGCUGAAGAGAGGAGCUUGCUCUUCUUGGAUGAGUUGCGAACGGGUGAGUAACGCGUAGGUAACCUGCCUUGUAGCGGGGGAUAACUAUUGGAAACGAUAGCUAAUACCGCAUAACAAUGGAUGACACAUGUCAUUUAUUUGAAAGGGGCAAUUGCUCCACUACAAGAUGGACCUGCGUUGUAUUAGCUAGUAGGUGAGGUAACGGCUCACCUAGGCGACGAUACAUAGCCGACCUGAGAGGGUGAUCGGCCACACUGGGACUGAGACACGGCCCAGACUCCUACGGGAGGCAGCAGUAGGGAAUCUUCGGCAAUGGGGGCAACCCUGACCGAGCAACGCCGCGUGAGUGAAGAAGGUUUUCGGAUCGUAAAGCUCUGUUGUAAGUCAAGAACGAGUGUGAGAGUGGAAAAUUCACACUGUGACGGUAGCUUGCCAGAAAGGGACGGCUAACUACGUGCCAGCAGCCGCGGUAAUACGUAGGUCCCGAGCGUUGUCCGGAUUUAUUGGGCGUAAAGCGAGCGCAGGCGGUUUGAUAAGUCUGAAGUUAAAGGCUGUGGCUCAACCAUAGUUCGCUUUGGAAACUGUCAAACUUGAGUGCAGAAGGGGAGAGUGGAAUUCCAUGUGUAGCGGUGAAAUGCGUAGAUAUAUGGAGGAACACCGGUGGCGAAAGCGGCUCUCUGGUCUGUAACUGACGCUGAGGCUCGAAAGCGUGGGGAGCGAACAGGAUUAGAUACCCUGGUAGUCCACGCCGUAAACGAUGAGUGCUAGGUGUUGGAUCCUUUCCGGGAUUCAGUGCCGCAGCUAACGCAUUAAGCACUCCGCCUGGGGAGUACGACCGCAAGGUUGAAACUCAAAGGAAUUGACGGGGGCCCGCACAAGCGGUGGAGCAUGUGGUUUAAUUCGAAGCAACGCGAAGAACCUUACCAGGUCUUGACAUCCCGAUGCUAUUUCUAGAGAUAGAAAGUUACUUCGGUACAUCGGUGACAGGUGGUGCAUGGUUGUCGUCAGCUCGUGUCGUGAGAUGUUGGGUUAAGUCCCGCAACGAGCGCAACCCCUAUUGUUAGUUGCCAUCAUUCAGUUGGGCACUCUAGCGAGACUGCCGGUAAUAAACCGGAGGAAGGUGGGGAUGACGUCAAAUCAUCAUGCCCCUUAUGACCUGGGCUACACACGUGCUACAAUGGUUGGUACAACGAGUUGCGAGUCGGUGACGGCAAGCUAAUCUCUUAAAGCCAAUCUCAGUUCGGAUUGUAGGCUGCAACUCGCCUACAUGAAGUCGGAAUCGCUAGUAAUCGCGGAUCAGCACGCCGCGGUGAAUACGUUCCCGGGCCU